rnacentral:rRNA from 1 species
UACGAAGGGGGCUAGCGUUGCUCGGAAUCACUGGGCGUAAAGCGCACGUAGGCGGCUUUCUAAGUCAGGGGUGAAAUCCUGGAGCUCAACUCCAGAACUGCCUUUGAUACUGGAGAGCUUGAGUCCGGGAGAGGUGAGUGGAGCUCCGAGUGUAGAGGUGAAAUUCGUAGAUAUUCGGAAGAACACCAGUGGCGAAGGCGGCUCUCUGGGACGGUACUGACGCUGAGACGCGAAAGCGUGGGGAGCGAACAGG